rnacentral:rRNA from 1 species
ACCCAUGACCAGGCUGAAGUUCAGGUAACACUGAAUGGAGGGCCGAACCGACUUACGUUAAAAAGUGACCGGAUGAGUUGUGGGUAGGGGUGAAAUUCCAAUCGAACCUGGAGAUAGCUCGUUCUCUCCGAAAUAUAUUUAGGUAUAGCCUCAUAUUAGCAUCGUGGAGGUAGAGCACUGUUUGGAUGAGGGGCCCAUCCCGGGUUACCGAGUUCAGACAAACUCCGAAUGCCACAGAUGUGAUGUAUGGGAGACACACGGCGGGUGCUAACGUCCGUCGUGAAAAGGGAAACAACCCAGACCGUCAGCUAAGGUCCCGAAAUCCUGGUUAAGUGGGAAACGAUGUGGGAAGGCUCAGACAGCUAGGAGGUUGGCUUAGAAGCAGCCAUCCUUUAAAGAAAGCGUAAUAGCUCACUAGUCGAGUCGGCCUGCGCGGAAGAUGUAAC